UUCACCAGGGAAAGGAGGCUCUGCUGGACCCCGCUAGAGAGCCCUUUACAGACAUGUCAUGCAGGAGAACUCAAGAACGUAACCUCGCUGGGGUUCCCACUUUUCAAACCUGAUGUCAUCUCCCAGCUGGAACAAGAGGAAGAGCCGUGGGCCUCAGAUUUCCAGGGCUCAGAGGAAAGAGAUCCUGAGAGGCAGCUGCAUGGGUGAGGGGAUGGUGAGAGAGACUGUGGAGCAGACA